UACGUAGGGUGCAAGCGUUAAUCGGAAUUACUGGGCGUAAAGCGUGCGCAGGCGGUUCGUUAAGUUCGUUGUGAAAGCCCCGGGCUCAACCUGGGAAUGGCAAUGGAAACUGGCGAGCUUGAGUGUGGCAGAGGGGGGUGGAAUUCCGCGUGUAGCAGUGAAAUGCGUAGAGAUGCGGAGGAACACCGAUGGCGAAGGCAGCCCCGUGGGCCAACACUGACGCUCAGGCACGAAAGCGUGGGGAGCAAACAGG
rnacentral:rRNA from 1 species